rnacentral:rRNA from 1 species
CUCUGUUUGAAGGUAUAAAGAGUAUAACCUGCUCACUGAUAAAAGUUUAAGAGCCGCAGUAUUUUGACUGUGCAAAGGUAGCAUAAUCGUUUGUUUUUUAAUUGGAAUCUUGUAUGAAUGGUUGGACAAGAGAAAAACUGUCUUUAUAAGAAAAAUUGAAUUUAACUUUUAGAUGAAAAGGUCUAAAUAAAUUAAAGGGACGAUAAGACCCUAUAAAGCUUAAUAUAAAAAGUUAGUUAAUUAAAUUUUAUUAAAAUAAAAAUGAAUUAAUUUAAUAUAUUUUGUUGGGGCGACAGAGGUAAAAUUAUUAUUAACUACUUAAAUAAAAUUCAAAUAUAAGUGUAAUUUUAAAAGAUCCUAGUUAAAGAUUUAAAGUUUAAGUUACUUUAGGGAUAACAGCGUUAUUUUUUUUGAGAGUACUUAUCGAGAAAAAAGUUUGCGACCUCGAUGUUGAAUUAAAAUAUCUUUAUAAUUGCAGAAGUUAUAAAAGAAGGUCUGUUCGACCUUUAAAUUUUUACAUGAUUUGAGUUCAGACCGGCGUGAG